rnacentral:rRNA from 1 species
CUACGGGGUGCAGCAGUGGGGAAUAUUGGACAAUGGGGGAAACCCUGAUCCAGCAAUACCGCGUGUGUGAAGAAGGCCUGCGGGUUGUAAAGCACUUUCGGUUGGGAGGACUGCUUCUAGCACUAAUAUUGUUGGAAGUUGACGUUACCUUCAGAAGAAGCACCGGCUAACUCCGUGCCAGCAGCCGCGGUAAUACGGAGGGUGCAAGCGUUAAUCGGAAUUACUGGGCGUAAAGCGCGCGUAGGCGGUUAGAUCAGUCGGGUGUGAAAGCCCCGGGCUUAACCUGGGAACUGCAUCCGAUACUGUCUAGCUUGAGUACAGGAGAGGAGAGUGGAAUUCCACAUGUAGCGGUGAAAUGCGUAGAUAUGUGGAGGAACACCAAUGGCGAAGGCAGCUCUCUGGCCUGAUACUGACGCUGAGGUGCAAAAGCGUGGGGAGCAAACAGGAUUAGAUACCCGUGUAGUC